CACUUUAUAAACUUUAACUCUAAUUAAUGUUAAUUUAAAGUUGUUUUUAUUGUUUUAGUAUUUUUGGGUGAAAUCUGAAGUUUUUUUAUGUGUCGCUUUAAAUUAUAAGAUUUAUUAAACAACCCAGAUUAGUACCUGGUUAGAUAAAAUUUAAAAGAGCAGGAGUAAAGUUGUGUUUAAACUGUAAGAAUAUUGGCAGAUUUUUAAAUUAUCUUUGGAGGUUGAGUAGUAAUUGAGAGCCCUCAUUAACAACUUUUCUUUUUGGACGCAUGUAUGAUCGUUUAUUUUAUUCUUAGGGAUUGUAAUUUUAGUUUGUAUCGGCUUUAAAAAUAGAUAAAUAUCUGGCCUAUAAGAAAGUUUUAAUUUGACCUACAAUAUUGUAUUUUAUGGACUAGGAUAUUAGUUUGUUCUAUGAAAUUGUAAAAGACAGUAAUUUACUUUUUAUGGGUAAAUGAAGUUUAUUUAAAAAU
rnacentral:rRNA from 1 species